rnacentral:rRNA from 1 species
GCGACAGGCUUAACACAUGCAAGUCGAGGGGCAGCGGGGGUAGCGAUACCCGCCGGCGACCGGCGCACGGGUGAGUAACGCGUAUGCAACUUGCCUAUCAGAGGGGGAUAACCCGGCGAAAGUCGGACUAAUACCGCAUGAAGCAGGGGCCCCGCAUGGGGAUAUUUGCUAAAGAUUCAUCGCUGAUAGAUAGGCAUGCGUUCCAUUAGGCAGUUGGCGGGGUAACGGCCCACCAAACCGACGAUGGAUAGGGGUUCUGAGAGGAAGGUCCCCCACAUUGGUACUGAGACACGGACCAAACUCCUACGGGAGGCAGCAGUGAGGAAUAUUGGUCAAUGGCCGAGAGGCUGAACCAGCCAAGUCGCGUGAGGGAUGAAGGUUCUAUGGAUCGUAAACCUCUUUUAUAAGGGAAUAAAGUGCGGGACGUGUCCCGUUUUGUAUGUACCUUAUGAAUAAGGAUCGGCUAACUCCGUGCCAGCAGCCGCGGUAAUACGGAGGAUCCGAGCGUUAUCCGGAUUUAUUGGGUUUAAAGGGUGCGUAGGCGGCCUUUUAAGUCAGCGGUGAAAGUCUGUGGCUCAACCAUAGAAUUGCCGUUGAAACUGGGGGGCUUGAGUAUGUUUGAGGCAGGCGGAAUGCGUGGUGUAGCGGUGAAAUGCAUAGAUAUCACGCAGAACCCCGAUUGCGAAGGCAGCCUGCCAAGCCAUUACUGACGCUGAUGCGCGAAAGCGUGGGGAUCAAACAGGAUUAGAUACCCUGGUAGUCCACGCAGUAAACGAUGAUCACUAGCUGUUUGCGAUACACUGUAAGCGGCACAGCGAAAGCGUUAAGUGAUCCACCUGGGGAGUACGCCGGCAACGGUGAAACUCAAAGGAAUUGACGGGGGCCCGCACAAGCGGAGGAACAUGUGGUUUAAUUCGAUGAUACGCGAGGAACCUUACCCGGGUUUGAACGCAUUCGGACCGAGGUGGAAACACCUUUUCUAGCAAUAGCCGUUUGCGAGGUGCUGCAUGGUUGUCGUCAGCUCGUGCCGUGAGGUGUCGGCUUAAGUGCCAUAACGAGCGCAACCCUUGCCACUAGUUACUAACAGGUAAAGCUGAGGACUCUGGUGGGACUGCCAGCGUAAGCUGCGAGGAAGGCGGGGAUGACGUCAAAUCAGCACGGCCCUUACAUCCGGGGCGACACACGUGUUACAAUGGCGUGGACAAAGGGAGGCCACCUGGCGACAGGGAGCGAAUCCCCAAACCACGUCUCAGUUCGGAUCGGAGUCUGCAACCCGACUCCGUGAAGCUGGAUUCGCUAGUAAUCGCGCAUCAGCCAUGGCGCGGUGAAUACGUUCCCGGGCCUUGUACACACCGCCCGUCAAGCCAUGGGAGCCGGGGGUACCUGAAGUCCGUAACCGAAAGGAUCGGCCUAGGGUAAAACUGGUAAUUGGGGCUAAG